ensembl:lncRNA
CCCUUUAGACAAGAGUGUGUUUGCUCCCGCUGUAAUGCCGUUAUCUCCCUCUCUCUCCCCCUUCUAAUCUGGACACCACAAGUAAGCGCUUCUGACAAGAGCUGUGCACAAAUUGAAUUUUUCUUCCCCUAUCCCUUUCGAUUUAUAAUUCCCUCUCCCGCCCUACAAGCAAACUCAAUUUCUGACCCUUUAGACAAAAGGCUCAGAUAAAGCAAUUAGUUGAAGAUUCUGUGUGAGCUCCUGGCUCGGCUGACCUGCAUGGGAGUGUGAAGCACUAGGAGCAGUACAAACAGGGGCGAUGACAGUUUCACCUCCUUGGAGAUGAACUCAAGAGUCACUGGAAACAAAAGAAGUACUGACCAAGCAACAUUGUACAGAGUUGGGGAAAACCAAAAGGCUCAACUCAGGAUCUCCUGUCCCCGUCUACCCGCCAUCUCACGCAUGAGUCUUCCUACAUGAUGCCUCGCUGGAGAUGCUCCCUCGAGCCGCACUGACAGGUCAUCUCUCACGCCAUCGAGUACAAUCAAUCACAAACCUCAAGAGUUCCCUUAGAGAAGACUUAUACAUUGCUACUCGGAACAUCCGGAGACAGCGAGGACCUCUUCCUCAGCUAGGUCCAAUACUAUCCGGGGUCAGGUCGCUGGGGCAACAGCUCCAGCAGGGACCCCAAACUUCCCUUUCCUGGGCCACAUCUACCAGCUCUGACUGGGGGAUCCCAAGGCGUUCCCAGGUCAGUGUAGAGAUAUAAUCUCUCCACCUAGGGUCUUCCCAGCUGGCCGUGCCUGGAACACCCCCCUAGGGAGGCGCCCAGGGGGCAUCCUCACCAGAUCCCCAAACCACCUCAACUGGCUCCUUUCGACGCAAAGGAGCAGCGGCUCUACUCCAAGCUCCUCAACCUAUCUCUAAGGGAGACGCCAGCCACUCUCCAGAGGAAACCCAUUUCGGCCGCUUGUACCCGUGACCCAAUCUUCAUGAACAUAGGUGAGCGUAGGAACGAAGAUUGACCGGUAGAUUGAGAGCUUUGCCAGUUUUGGGGAAAACGCUUGCCCUGGAUCACCAGCUGGAUUCCUGGUGGACGCAGUCUGCUCUCCCAGAGCCCCCGGAAGGCGUUCGGGUCACCGUUCUCCGCGCCCUCCGGUCACCACUUUGCCUCCGGAGGUGGAGGCCAUCUCUAGGUCUCCAAUUGCCGGAUCAUACGGGGAGCAGGUGAUGCACCUCACGGCCCAUCUCCAGGCCACGUACUCCCUCCACGCUGGGCCGGAGCGCCCUCCCGAUCCGGCUCCACGACUCGUGCCCCCAACGCCUCCAGUCCCCACUCCAUAACUAAGGCCCCCUCUGUCACGAAUUCUCCAUCUUAUUACUUUUUUUCCUGCCUGCGUUCUAGUCAAUUAACUCUACUCAGUCAUUCCAGAUCCUGUCCUCAAUAAGAAAUCACCUCAUUCUCUUCACCUGGUCCUCAUGCCCUUCCCGACUGCAACCCAUUCCCUCGUUAGUCCCUCACUACAUAGGUCCCCCCCACUUGUCCUCUGCCAGAUUGUCUUGUGUGCAUGCAAAGUUUUCCAGCGUUUUCCGAUUACAGAUAUCCCAUCCUGACCUAGCCUGCCUUCUCUUGACCACGUGUCAGGGGAUGCGUGGGGAAGGCAGGACUCAAAAGCAGACGUCAAAAGCAAAAGGACUUUAAUCGUCAAAAAGGCAAAAGCAAAAGACCAAUGGGCAAAAACACACAAAAACUGGGGGCAAAAAGGCACGCAGGAACAGGGAACAUCCACGACGAUAGACAGGGACUUCGUGACAAGAGACAAUGACGCCACAAGUGACAAACCCACUCUGGAGGUGCACGUGAUUGGACACAGGUGGAAACAAUCCGACAAUCACAGGGGAUGACAGGACCAGGCAGGAAGUGAAGUUACCCGGGGACACGAGUGGCAGAAAACUACAAAAUAAGACAGGAAGUGCACCACACCGUGACACCACAAACUCUUCGCCUGCCCUCUUAUUGGAUUUGUUUGCCUGUCGGAUCGCCGUUCUGUUUCUGAACCCUGCCUGUCCCAGUUUACGGAUUUCCUGGCUGCCCCUCUGGAUUUGUUUGCCCAUUGGACUGCUAUCCCAGUUUUGACCCUGCCUGUAUAAGUAAAGAACUUUAGAUUGAAUUCUGCCUCAGAGUUGUGCUUUUGGGUUACAAUAUCUGUAACCCUUAAACCCUCCCUUCUUAGGAAGAAUCAAUGCUGCAUUUCACAACCAGCUGUGAACUCUGUUGGAAUAUGACAACUAAAGCACUUGGCAUAAUGUAAUAAAAGUUAUUGGGCAUUAUCAAAGGUCCUUCCAAGAAAGGUGAUAAAAGUAAACAUCAAGUUGUGGCUGUUUUUUUGUGCUGCAAAUGCUUCUUAAGGUUUGCUGAGAUGUAGA